UGGGGAAUAUUGGACAAUGGGGGGAACCCUGAUCCAGCCAUGCCGCGUGUGUGAAGAAGGCCUUAUGGUUGUAAAGCACUUUAAGCGAGGAGGAGGGUACUGGUAUUAAUACUACCAGCUACUGGACGUUACUCGCAGAAUAAGCACCGGCUAACUCUGUGCCAGCAGCCGCGGUAAUACAGAGGGUGCGAGCGUUAAUCGGAUUUACUGGUCGUAAAGCGUGCGUAGGCGGCUAAUUGAGUCGGAUGUGAAAUCCCCGAGCUUAACUUGGGAAUUGCAUUCGAUACUGGUUAGCUAGAGUGUGGGAGAGGAUGGUAGAAUUCCAGGUGUAGCGGUGAAAUGCGUAGAGAUCUGGAGGAAUACCGAUGGCGAAGGCAGCCAUCUGGCCUAACACUGACGCUGAGGUACGAAAGCAUGGGGAGCAAACAGG
rnacentral:rRNA from 1 species